rnacentral:rRNA from 1 species
GCACAGAGUUAGCCGGUGCUUCCUUUGAGGGUACCGUCACUUCCCGGGGCUGUUAACCCCAGGAAUAUUCGUUCCCUCCGACAGAGCUUUACGACCCGAAGGCCUUCAUCACUCACGCGGCGUUGCUGCGUCAGGCUUUCGCCCAUUGCGCAAUAUUCCCCACUGCUGCCUCCCGUAGGAGUCUGGACCGUGUCUCAGUUCCAGUGUGGCUGAUCAUCCUCUCAGACCAGCUAACCAUCUUUGCCUUGGUAGGCCGUUACCCUACCAACUAGCUAAUGGUACGCAGGCCCAUCUCUAAGUGAUAGCUUAUAAAUAGAGGCUAUCUUUGACCCCUGCUUCCGAAGAAACCGUGGUCUUAUCCGGUAUUAGCACGUCUUUCGACAUGUUAUCCCAAUCUUAGAGGCAGGUUACCUACGUGUUACUCACCCGUGCGCCACUUUACUCGGAGCCGAAGCCCCUUUCUCGUUCGACUUGCAUGUGUUAGGCACGCCGCCAGCGUUCGUU